rnacentral:rRNA from 1 species
UACGAAGGGGGCUAGCGUUGUUCGGAUUUACUGGGCGUAAAGCGCACGUAGGCGGAUCUUUAAGUCAGAGGUGAAAUCCCAAGGCUCAACCUUGGAACUGCCUUUGAUACUGGGGAUCUUGAGUCCGGGAGAGGUGAGUGGAACUGCGAGUGUAGGGGUGAAAUUCGUAGAUAUUCGCAAGAACACCAGUGGCGAAGGCGGCUCACUGGCCCGGUACUGACGCUGAGGUGCGAAAGCGUGGGGAGCAAACAGG